rnacentral:lncRNA from 1 species
CAUUAGCAUUGAAGCCCUGUUUUCCUCACAGCUAUGUCACUGAGUGUGGUUAUAUGCUCUACAGUUAUGUUUCAGUGAAUGGUGGACCUCCAGGAUCCCAGCACCAGGACAGGAAUCAUCGAAGAGGAGGAUGAAAAGAUCCUAGUUGAGGCCUCUGAGUGUGUUGUAGACCUGCUGUUGGGUCAGCACCUUGGCACACCAGUGGAGACCUGCUGCCUUUGGAGAGGAGGAUCGGGAAUAUGCCGGUAAGGCAAUGGGGUAACCAGAGGUGAGGCUGUGGUUGGGGGUGGUAGCAGUGGACCUCAGCUGGUGGCCUCGUUCCAGAGGAGGCAGCACGGCUGUGUCUUCUUCCUGCCUGUGUGUGUGUGUGAGCAGCAGCUAGUGCAGCUGCCCUCACCUUAACGCCCUGGUCAUUUCUCAGUCUUGUAAGAGAAAU